ensembl:lncRNA
GCCUCGUUUAUAACAGCAUCACAGUAUGGUAAGGGACGUAACAUUUCCGUCACAUGCUUGAAGUAUUCAGCCAAUCACAACACACUGUAUAGCUGGCCAAUCAGAGCACACUUUGCUUUUCAGAACGAUUAGCUUUGUAAAAAACGACGCAUUUCAGAAGGCGGGGCAUAGAGGAGAAACAAUAAUGUACAGUAUGUGGAAAAUAAUGUGUUUUUUAAACCUUAAACCACAUAAACACAUUGCAUUACACCAAAUACACAAAAUUAUGUUCUUUUUAGCAACACCAUAUGACCCUUUUAAAUUGAAAAAUGCUGCGAAUCAAACUCAAGGAUUGUGUACAGGAUUUUAGGGAGCAUGUGUGUUGUGUUGGGUCUCAGAAUGACGUGUUGCUUUGGUAUCAUUCUCUGGAGAUUCACGCCACUGAGAGACUCACACUUUGAACACGCUCCCUUACGCUGCAGCUAUUACUUGCAUAUCAACACGAGAAGUUUUUAAGACGUCGGGAACUGCGCCUGACUGUAACGCUGUUUAAAGCUUUCAGGUCAAGGCUCACGGCAGCACUGCGCUCGACGCCAUCAUAAGCGGCAGCCUUCACGACAGUAACCAUAGCAACACCAUCCCUAACAUCAGCAGUGGCGAGACAGGUUUCCCUCCCACAGGCUCUGUCCAGUAAGGAACAGCUAAGAGGUCGAGAAGACAAGUGUCCGCCCCUAUGCUGUCAAUUAGCGGCCGGCACGUAAGGACCGACGGUUGCAUUUGUCGAUGGAUUUGGUUUGAAAGGUCGCCUUGGCAAAGGAAGUUUACAUUUGAAUACAAUCUGGUGCCUCAAACACACCCACUACAAAACAGCAUCUGGAAUAUAUUAAAUAAAUAAUAAUAUUAAUCAUAAUAAAAAAAAAGAAAUU